AUUGAACGCUGGCGGCAGGCCUAACACAUGCAAGUCGAGCGGGGUUUUCGGACCUAGCGGCGGACGGGUGAGUAAUGCGUAGGAAGCUACCCGAUAGAGGGGGAUACCAGUUGGAAACGACUGUUAAUACCGCAUAAUGUCUACGGACCAAAGUGUGGGACCUUCGGGCCACAUGCUAUCGGAUGCGCCUACGUGGGAUUAGCUAGUUGGUGGGGUAAUGGCUCACCAAGGCGACGAUCCCUAGCUGGUUUGAGAGGAUGAUCAGCCACACUGGAACUGAGACACGGUCCAGACUCCUACGGGAGGCAGCAGUGGGGAAUAUUGGACAAUGGGCGCAAGCCUGAUCCAGCCAUGCCGCGUGUGUGAAGAAGGCCUUCGGGUUGUAAAGCACUUUCAGUAGGGAGGAAGGGUGUUGUGUUAAUAGCACAGCAUUUUGACGUUACCUACAGAAGAAGCACCGGCUAACUCUGUGCCAGCCGCCGCCGUAACAC
rnacentral:rRNA from 1 species